CUCCGAUUCUUCUUCUGCAUUUCCACAGGAGAAUGCCGCAAGCGGCCAGUACAACCGCCAGGGCGGUGACUACGCUGACAAUAACCGCUGUCCAUCGCCUCCGUUUCGCGCCUGUUUCUGGCCGGGCUAAAAAGGUACAGUGCCGUCUAUGAAUCUUAUGUCUACUCACCCUAUCACAACGGAAUAGAUCAACUUCAAGAAUUGACCAAAGUGUCAGACGUCUGCUCCGUGCAAACCGUGCAUGUUGUGUGCCAAAGCCACGCAUGCAUUCAGAUCAGACCUUCAACUUCGAAUAUCCAAAUAACCCUUUUGUUUGCGAUAAUGCUUUACUACCAAACAAGGACAGCUUGUAAAGCAUAAGAAAUGGGGAGUGGCACGUCUCAUCUGAAAGGCAUGCAUAUCGCAUUUCACCAUCUAGGAAAGCUUUUCCAGCUAGUUUUUUUCACCGUUCACGACAACUGUUUACUAGCCCAAGUUGGCAACCAUCUUGUACUCGGCUAAACAUCCUGAAGAAUUUUAUUCCGUGGACUACAGAAGGCAUCGCACCGGAUGCGAUCCCGAAAUUUCACAUCUUCCUGCAUUUACACUGGAUAGCUUUCUCAUAGAUUUACGGCGACUGUAAACCCAAAGAUUCCGCUUGUUUUGUAUACGUACUCCUUGUCCCCUUACGAAUUCUCAAUUAACACGGCUGGAUUCAAUGUUCCUCAUCAUGGACUAAAGAACAAAAUGGCAUGUUCCCUUCCUGGCCAAUCCAGUGGUUUGGCUCGGUAGGUGGGGCCGCGCCCAUGCGCCAACGACCAAGCGUCACUGGAGCCCGAUCCGUCAUUGGCAUGUGCUCAGUCAAACAUGUUCAUUUGGCAAUUAUACUGACCGAACAACUAAGAACU